GACGGAGGGCGCGAGCGUUGUUCGGAAUUACUGGGCGUAAAGCGCGCGCAGGCGGACUCGUGCGUCGGGAGUGAAAGCCCGGGGCUCAACCCCGGUGUUUGCUUCCGAUACGGCGGGUCUAGGGACCGGUAGAGGCCGGUGGAAUUCCCGGUGUAGCGGUGGAAUGCGUAGAGAUCGGGAAGAACACCAGUGGCGAAGGCGGCCGGCUGGGCCGGAGGGCUCUUCUUCGGAGGAGUGUCCGACGCUCAUGCG
rnacentral:misc_RNA from 1 species